rnacentral:rRNA from 1 species
UUAGUACGGCGAGUGAGCGGCAAAAGCUCAAAUUUGAAAUCUGGUACCUUCGGUGCCCGAGUUGUAAUUUGGAGAGGGCAACUUUGGGGCCGUUCCUUGUCUAUGUUCCUUGGAACAGGACGUCAUAGAGGGUGAGAAUCCCGUGUGGCGAGGAGUGCGGUUCUUUGUAAAGUGCCUUCGAAGAGUCGAGUUGUUUGGGAAUGCAGCUCUAAGUGGGUGGUAAAUUCCAUCUAAAGCUAAAUAUUGGCGAGAGACCGAUAGCGAACAAGUACAGUGAUGGAAAGAUGAAAAGAACUUUGAAAAGAGAGUGAAAAAGUACGUGAAAUUGUUGAAAGGGAAGGGCAUUUGAUCAGACAUGGUGUUUUGUGCCCUCUGCUCCUUGUGGGUAGGGGAAUCUCGCAUUUCACUGGGCCAGCAUCAGUUUUGGUGGCAGGAUAAAUCCAUAGGAAUGUAGCUUGCCUCGGUAAGUAUUAUAGCCUGUGGGAAUACUGCCAGCUGGGACUGAGGACUGCGACGUAAGUCAAGGAUGCUGGCAUAAUGGUUAUAUGCCGCCCGUCUUGAAACACGGACACCACA